UUGAGCAAUAGCAACGACAAUCUCUCAUCACGAACAACAAACCCAAACCCGUACCUAAUCAUAACACCAAUAUCAAAACUUCAACCCAAAUUAAAUCUCAACGACCCAAAUUAAAUCAACCGCGAAAUCCAAAUCCAAAAACCUUUUCAAAUUUGAAAUGUUUGCACGAUUCUCGUACAAAAUUUAGCUGUCAAACCGCGUCACCAAAAAGGAAUUCCCGAAAAACUCAAAAUUACCCCCGUUGGCCUCUUUUCCCACAUCGAUUGAACACUAAAUGGGGAGCCUAGAUUUUCCUAUAAAAGGGACACGACAGAGAAGAAGGAGACUAACUCUAAAAAGAGGGAAAAACUAUUUUUGAGCAAAAUCAGUAAAAAUUUUCAUUUUUAGUAAAAAUUUUAGUGGUCGAUUUGUCAGAAUUCUCGAAGGAUCGACUUUCGGUGGUGGUGGAGUCCGACGUUAGCUCAAGGUUCUAUUUUGCUACUCCGAAAGAGAUGAAGCAGAUUUUGAGCCAAAUGGUCCAAAAAGAUGGUUCAAGAUAGGUUAUGGGCUAAAAGCUCAAUAUUUAGAUUAGGACAAGUGACAACAGGCCAAAAACCCAAAUGUAUAGUUUAGGACAGGUGCAAGCGGGUUUGGGACUAAAAGCCUAAUCUCAUUUUUUACCUUUUUCUUUUCUAUGGUUAUUUGCUAUUUGUGCCUUCGAAUUUAGUUAAAUUCCC